UUACCCACAUCCACAACCACGAGCUACCUAUAUACAAAGCAAGAUUUUUAGGGUAAUGGGCCUUUAUUUAUUUCAUGGUUCCUCCAGCGAUGGGUGGGCCCAGCAAAAAGAAAUGGAAUACAUGCGGUUAGGUUGAGGCUAGAGAGCACGAGGGCCUACAGGACCGCGCCUGCUAACCAUUUUCGACCUGUUGAAUAUCCAAGAUUCAAAGGUUCAGGCCAUGAACAGAAAGAAAAUUAGAGGUCAAUUUCAUGGAUGUGGAAUAUAUGGAAAAUUGCAUAUGUACAAAGGCAAUGCAACAAGCAAGUAAUAAGGUCUUUUGCUGAAUUUCAACCACGCGUUUGGCAGACUUCUCUAGUCUCUACUUAACCCCGUCCUAGAAGCAAUGUGUCCUUUCGUUUACUGCAAAUAAACCUUCAAGAACGGCUCGACGUGCAUUUCACUCUUGAAGACUUAUUUUCUCCAGAAACCUACAAUUUCUUUGCAACCACAUAUCACUCUGGUGGUAUUUAAUAAUGUCUCUCUAUGACCAGCAACAAGUUCCUACUAUCUAUCGACCAGCCAUGACAGCAUAUCCACCACCACCAGCUCAUCCAAUGGAGUACGCACAAGAUCAUCAUAUUUCACCACCACCACCACCACCUAUCGGUUAUCCCACCAAUAAUGGUGCAAGCUAUCCUCAACAUAACCCUUUAAGUGUAAAGACCAAAAGCAAAGGUGGUGAUGGCUUUUGGAAAGGAUAGUAACUAGGCACCACUCUCUCCCUCUCUCAAAGUAAAAACUAUUAGUACAUAUCAACUUUCAAUUGAUAUUAAAAUUCUCGUUUCAUUGUGUGUUUGCAGUCUUGCUGCCUUGUGUUGUUGCUGUGUCUUUGAUGUGUGCUGUUGCUAAAGACUAUCAGACAACAUAUAUACCAUCGAUUGACAGUUACAUUUCCUUCUUGUUAUUAAUCAUUUUCAUUUAUCUAAUAAAUAAGGUGAUCGAAGUGGUAUUUAAAUG